CACGUAGGGGCCAAGCGUUGUCCGGAUUCAUUGGGCGUAAAGGGUGUGUAGGUGGCGCCGUAAGUCGGGUGUGAAAUUUCGGAGCUUAACUCCGAAACUGCAUUCGAUACUGCGGUGCUUGAGGACUGGAGAGGAGACUGGAAUUCAUGGUGUAGCAGUGAAAUGCGUAGAGAUCAUGAGGAAGACCAGUGGCGAAGGCGGGUCUCUGGACAGUUCCUGACACUGAGACACGAAGGCCAGGGGAGCAAACGGG
rnacentral:rRNA from 1 species